AGGCAAGAGUACUGGAGUGGGGUGCCACCGCCUUCUCCUACUUCUCUCCAAAUGAUCCUAGAUGCUCAUUCUUCUCAGGACCAGUGGGACUCCCAGCGUGCCUCUUAGAGAAUAGCUCUUCCCAGAUUAUCCUGGGGAAAAAAAGAGACACUGAAAACCAGCAACUGGGUCAAAGAGAAUGAAAGAGGAAGAAGAAAAAGAAACUAACAUUUCCUGCAGACCUCCCCCACAUACCGUGCAUUCUGGUAAACCCCAUUCAUGGAGUUUCUUCAUGCUCUUCCCUACAAGUCUAUGAGAUCAGAAGAUUCCCAGCCCCCUUUCCCAGAGGGAGGAACUGCUGUCUAGAGCAGUAACCCAGGGCCUUCCCCGGGGCCAGCCAUGGGUACGGGACAGCAGCAGGAUGUAUACCCAGCUCCGCUCAUCUCCGAAGCCUGAGCUCUUUCCACUGCCACAUGUGGCCUUUUUGGCCCAAGAGGAAGAAAAUUCAUUUUGAUGCAGUGACCCCAAAGCUCAAGGGAUCAGCAUCAGAGUUUACUGAUUAAGAGGCUGCAGAUUCAUGCUCCGAAGACCUAAAUGCCAAGUCAUUGCUGAAGGCCUGAGCUCUGUGGCCGCAUCUGAAUGAAGAAACACUCACUGAGUUGGGAAACAAAGACAAUGAGCCCCCUUCCCCUUGGAGAUGAGCAGAUUCUCAGCAAUAAACAAGAGGAGGACGUCUGUUCAACUGUCUUCUCUCCGUGUGGGAUUAAGGACGAUCCAACAUGGUAGAAUCAUCAUGAAACAGUAACACUGACCGUGUGUCUGGGAAGACAUGGCACUUCUCUACCAGGAAACUGAGUGGACAGAAUUUACAGAUCACUUCCUUUUGGUCUUUUAAAGAAGAGUUUCACCUUCACUCACAAGUGAACCGUGUGACAGUCAUCUGACUGAACCGUCCAGAUGACCCUGGGAUGAUUCAGACAGACAGCAGUUCUAAAACAUGUUUGUCCCUGUGGUCCAACAAUGUAUGUCUGAUGUGUUUUUUGUUUUCUGCUUUUUACAAAGAAAAAAAAAAGCAGACUUGAUACAUACAUGCCAGAGCAAGUGUCUGAAUCAGGCUAAAGUCAGGACAUACAAGUUCAGCUGCUAUUGCCAGACAGACUUGGGACUGAAUUUGAGUUCUAACAAUUAUUAUAAGUCCCUUAACUUCUCAAGUCUCAGUUUGCCUUUCUGCAGCAAGGGGUCAAUGACUCUUUUGAGACUGGAAUCUAGAAAGAAAGGCUGAGUCCAGGAAGAAAGUCUGUUUAGAAUCAGAGGUUUUGUCCUGCUGCCCCACCCCCCCACCAAAAAAAAUUGAGGAGGUAAUUGAAAUGCUUUUUAUCACCAAUUUUGGCAUCCCUAUGUUUUCUGUAGGCCUCUUAUAUGAAGCUUCUUCCAUAAUAAAAUCAUAAUCCAAAGAUGUCUUCCAAUUGAUACCAAAGCAGAAUAGUAUAUGGGGUGAAAAAUAAAGGAGAAAAAACAGGAGACUAUUCACUGGAUGGAGUGAGGGCUUUGUUUCUCGUGGUUUUUCAGGAUUCCAAGUCUGGCUGCUUGCAUUUGUUUUCUUUGAGCUUGAAUCCAUGCCCGUCUGCGUUUCCAUUUGCUUCCAGAUAGCCAUUGAAAGAGCUGGCCCUCAGUGAGGGAAUUUAGUACGCUGUGGCCUGGAUUAACUGUCUUCAAGCCAAAAGAUGGUUGACAUUCAAUUUCAAAUGGACAUAGUUUUCCAGACAUUUCCAUGCAUUUCAGAAUAACUUAGACCAUGGAUAAAAGCCCCACUGGUCAGUAAGUUCAGCACACGUCUCAGUUUAUAGGUUUAGUUCAAGGAAAGAAACUGGAUAAUGUGGAGUAGAUGAACUAGUCAUGCCAAACACAUGAUGAUGAUGCUUAGUGUUCAGUUCUGUUUGGGACUAUACACACAUAAUAACCGUCCAAACAAAAGCAGUUACUAUGAAGGAAACGGAUAUUUUCACACCAACCUUUGUUUUUCCCAUUUAAUUCUCACAAAAUUCAGUCUUAAGGAGUUAAAUGUUAGUAUCUCUGUGAUAAAGCUAAAGUUAAGCUCACAAAUUUAGGAAGAGACAGAGCUGAGAUUUGAACCCAUAUCCUCCUAAAUUCCAAAGCCAUUCUUUGAUGCUACGCUGCCUCCUAGAGAAAGUUCAAAAAACCAAUAGUGUUAGAAAGGGAGCUUUCUCAAUUCAUUUCGAAUUGCACUUGAAUUCGUGCCACUCUCUUAGCUCUACGGGCUUGGGAAAUGAAACAAUAAAAGAAAUGGUCCCUGACCUUCCACAGCUUGUAAUCUGACAACAGGAAGGGUUGUUAAAUACAAGAACAGACCCAUAAAGUAAAUUGUAAGAUUGCUUGCGUUGGCACUCUAUUCCAGAAGGUUUCAAUGCAGCCUAGAAGGAGACAGGUGAAUGCAGCGACCCCUCACUGUCCUUCCUCUCCCCGUGAGGGUGCGGGGUGGUAAGAAAGGCCUGGGGGCUUCUCCGAGUACAAAGGUGAAUUUGUGCAAUUCAACAUAUGCAUUGUGGUAUCACGGUAUACUACAUUCCAUGUCUGGCAGCAGUAUAAUUGAAUGAACAGCAAUAAAGUGCAGUGGUUAAGAGGUUGGGCUCUGCAUUUACACUGCCUGGGGCUAAAUCCUGGUACAUCCCCACUUACAAUUUGUUUUGGACAGGUUCCUUGACUCUCCACAUCUAUUUUUAUCAUAUGUUAAAUGGGUAGAAUAAUGCGAUCUAAUUUAACAGCAUUGUUGUAAAUAUCACAUAAAAGAGUAUGUAAGUAUACUGUUUACAAACCACUUAGCACGAUGUCUGGCAUACAGUGACGGCUCAAAACAGAAGUCAGCUAUGAGUAUUGUUUCUGUUAUCGUUGUUGUUGCCAUCACAAUAGAGGAGGGAUACAAGGACCAUCAGGGAUUAUUUUUACCCAGCCUGCUCCUCUUCCAGGUGACAAAACUGAAGCCCAGAUAAAGAAAGCGGCCAUGCCCAUGGCCAUACACCAAGUGGGAGGCAGCCCUGGAACAAGAUUGACCUCUCAACUCCUAGAGCCUAUGAGACAAUUCCUGCCAGUGAGCAUAUGCGAUAAAAUCACUGAGAACAGAAGAGCUUCCACAGCUGCUCAAGCAGCCUGAGCUCCUCAUUUUGUGACCAGCUUUAAUCAACACACAUGUGAACCACAUGCGCUGGGCAUUGCCUAUGUGCCGGGCCCUUUACAUGGCGCACAGCUCCACCCUGCUGUCUUCUCACACUUGAAACCUCCGAGGACAAUAGAAAGCCCAGGAAAGACAGAAGGCAUUCCACAGACUUCACGUAUGUAAUGUAGUCCGGUGGUUUGUGAAUUAGAGCAUCUAGACCUCCAGGCAGUAGGAAGAAACAGUGGAUGUGGUGGGGGCUGAAGUCGGUCUCCUGUGUACCCACCCCAAACUGCAACCAGAUCAACUCCAGUUUGAUCUAAUCGUAUAGACCAAUGGCCCAUGUUUUAUU